rnacentral:rRNA from 1 species
GACGAACGCUGGCGGCGUGCUUAACACAUGCAAGUCGAACGGAAAGGCCCUGCUUUUGUGGGGUGCUCGAGUGGCGAACGGGUGAGUAACACGUGAGUAACCUGCCCUUGACUUUGGGAUAACUUCAGGAAACUGGGGCUAAUACCGGAUAGGAGCUCCUGCUGCAUGGUGGGGGUUGGAAAGUUUCGGCGGUUGGGGAUGGACUCGCGGCUUAUCAGUUUGUUGGUGGGGUAGUGGCUUACCAAGGCUUUGACGGGUAGCCGGCCUGAGAGGGUGACCGGCCACAUUGGGACUAAGAUACGGCCCAGACUCCUACGGGAGGCAGCAGUGGGGAAUAUUGCACAAUGGGCGGAAGCCUGAUGCAGCAACGCCGCGUGCGGGAUGACGGCCUUCGGGUUGUAAACCGCUUUCGCCUGUGACGAAGCGUGAGUGACGGUAAUGGGUAAAGAAGCACCGGCUAACUACGUG